ACAAGGCAGAUUUCUCGGUUCUUGGUUCAUCACUCCGGAAUUUGAGAAGGAUUCCAGCGAGAUCUCGGCGAGCAAGCUCGAUUUCAUGGGUCCUCCCAUACAUGGCGUGAGCAAACCAGACGAUUGGGCAAAAGCCGUCGUUGAUUGCUACCCAUGGAAUUGGAGCUCUCAUGCCCUUGGUUUUGGAGUCAAUACAGCAUAAGCUCUUCAUGCUUAUCCAUAGCCAGAGAAUAUGUGUUGCUAUUCCUCAUCCUAACUAAAUGGAACAACGAUGGAAAGAUGUAAGGCCCCAGCUGUGCACUUUAGACCAUCAGUUCCAUGCUGAGUUGAAGCUUGGCUGUCAUCAUUUCCAGCAACUUUCCUUCACAAAGACUCUUUAGAAGUAGUGAUCUAGAUUGAAGCAGAUUGUGUUGUUUUGCUCACUACUGGACAUUUUCGGUUGGAGGACCGUGAUCAGCAGCCAGUGACACACGCACUUUCUGGCA